CCUCCACCGUAUAUUUGCCCGUUAUAGAUCUUUCCUCUUUAGGAAACCCUUUGCUUCGAUCAACGGUUAUAGAACAAGUGCAUGUGGCAUGUAAGGAACUAGGUGCUUUUCAGGUACAUUACUUAUUAACAAACUAUACAUAUAGUUGCAUAAAAUCAGUUCAACUAUAAAACGAAGUUUUCCAAGAAAGUAAUUACUAGGCAGAGUAUUCUUUGUAUUGAAUAUAUUUAUUUCUUCACUUUUUUUUUUUUUUCCUUUUUUUUACUACGUGCAUGAGCAGACAUGUCGUCAACUUUUUUCUACGUCAUGCAUGCAUUUUUAACGUUACGAAAAUACGUACCACCUUAUGCAGGUGAUCAACCAUGGAAUUCCGAUCCCGAUUGUCGAUCAGGCACUAGAAGUUGCUGCGGAGUUUUUCGAUAUGCCGAACGAAAAAAAGAUGCGUAUUGCCUCUACUGAUGCUCGUGAGCCUGUAAGAUACGGGACCAGUCUGAAUUACAUCAAUGAUAAAGUUAAAUAUUGGAGAGACUUUAUCAAACACUACUCUAAUCCAAUCUCAAGAUGGAUCGAUUUGUGGCCGUCGGAUCCUCCAAGUUACAAGUAAUCAACUCACAAAGCUUCUCUUUUUUUUUUUAAAGUAAAACGGAGAAUAUUUAUUCUCGAAAUCUAAUGUAUUAUUUUUUGCAGGGAGAAAAUGGGGAACUACGCAAAGGCUGUGCAUAUCUUGCAUAAAGAGCUAAUGGAAGUAUUAUUCGAGAGCUUAGGUCUAAAACCAGACUACUUACAGAACGACAUCGAAGAAGGCUCACAGGUCAUGGCAGUAAACUUUUAUCCUGCUUGCCCAGAGCCGAAUCUAACACUAGGCCUUCCCCCACACUCGGAUUAUGGACUGUUAACCAUUUUACUCCAAAAUCAACGGGGCUUAGAAACUAUGGACAACGACGGAAAAUGGCAAUCCGUUCCUGUAAUAAAAGAAGGGUUGGUGGUUCAGUUGGGCGAUCAUAUGGAAGUACUGAGUAAUGGCCGAUACAAAAGUGUCGUACAUCGAGCAUGCCUUAACUCGGAAAAGAGGCGUCUUUCGAUUGCAAGUCUUCACAGUUUGGAAAUAGAGAAGAAAGUAAUACCUGCUCAAGAACUUGUCGAUGAGCAACAUCCGUUGGCCUAUGAAGGAGUGAGCUUCGGAGACUUUCUGCACUUCCUUUCCAAAAACGACAUCCUGGAAGGAAGAUACAUCGACACGUUGAGAAAAAAUCCACAGAUAGAUGCAUAAGAAUUUUGUUUUAUCGUUUUUGUUUCCUUCUGAAUUUACUAGUUACAACAUAUACACUGACGUGUAUGAAUAAAAAUCACUACAGUUUUGAAUGUUCUUUGAGUGUAAAGUAAAGCAUGUCUCGGAUAAAAAGACCUUUGUGUGAAUUGGUGAGAACCCGGUGAAUAUAAUUGAAACCCGUGCAAAUAUCAAGAAAGUGAACAUUGAAAUACAUGCAAAAUAUGGUAAUAGGUAGCAUUUAUUUACGGAAUUUUAUUUUAUCAUGUAGAUUAAACAUUACUCUUUGCUGGGAAAGCCACGAAGUUUCUAACCAUACGAAUCAUUUAAAAAAAUGGAACUCAGAACAUAUUGUUACGGAAUAAAGGAUCGAAAGAUAAGUCAUCUGUAUUUCAGUCUUUUCACUGCUUAUUUGCUUUUACAUGCAUUCUUUUUGCAAAAUACCGGAGAAAGUAAAGCUUUAGUUGUUAAAUGAGUACUUCUCGUAUUAGAACUUUCUUGGUCUCGACUGUUUUAAUAAAAAAAAUUGCAGUUACCAACCAUCAACGCUAGGUUCAAAAACGAAACAAUAGUUGAGAAGGAAAUAAAUGGAAUAUUCUUAUACAAAUAUAUCAAAAGAUUGCUGUGACUGAGCUACACACACCAUCUACAAUAGAUUUGUUUAUUUAAUUUUUUUUUAUAAAAGAGAGAGAGAGAGAGAGAGAGAGAGAGAGAGAGAGAGAGAGAGAGAGAGAGAGAGAGAGAGAGAGAGAGAGAGUAGUACGAAACCUGAGGCUCAAACUUGAAGACUGCAACCAAGUGACAUCCCUCUUAAUUCUCACUGAAACAAGGGGCGUGCAUUUUCAUUUCAGAUACUUUAUUCAAGAGAGAAAAUGUGCAAAACCGGUAUUUGCCUCUCCCAUUAAUAUAAGCUCGAGGCGGUUGAGGGGUGUACGUGGUGUGACGCACUUGAUUUGUUAACAAUUUGUCUUCUUCGGGAAGUAAAGCAAGAUGAACGCGCUGUUUGACUUUGAAUAUAAAUAAUAUCCAUUACUCUUAACCUUCCAACAGAAACAGCUGCAACAAUUGAAAAACGACAGAUUUCCGUGACGAAUAUAGCAUAUGAUCUGCCACUACAACAUCAUUCUUUGUUGCGAGAUUUCAGCUUCUAGCGUCACGGAUUCAAAAUUUUCGACACUUCGAGGGUGAACACGCUUCCCGAUUAUUUGGAGGCUACAAAUAUGUCUCAUCAAAUUUUACCUUCUCAUUUUGGACAGUAAACUUAAUAUUGUCGUCUUUUUCUAGAAAUGUGCAUACAAUAAUUGGAAGUUUGGUUAAAAAACUUUCUAUAUUGAAGUUUUCCCAUAUCAAAUCACAUGUUGUGCAGGCAAAUACAAUUCAUACCCUUUUUUUUUCCGUAAUAAAGAAAAUCGCAGCCAACCAUAUAGGUACAAUGGGUAAUCCUAAGCUCUCGUAUAACAGUUUGCAAAGCAUACGAGAGACGAAAACUACACUAGGCUAACUAUGUGUGAGAAGCUCAACCUAGCGUUGGCAUACAUAAGUAUUAACCACUAAUCGAAUAUCACCAACCGCAAUUAACGAAAAUCAAACACGUAAUCGAACAAUUUAAAAAAAAAAAUUUAACAAAAACCACAUGCGUUGAUUCAGAAUUUACGAUUAAAACCAAAAAAAAAGGUCUAAUUCCCGAGCAAAAAAUCGAUUUUCAUGCAGUCAUUAGCUUUUGAUUUUCAUUCCGAAACUCAAUUGGAUGUUGAAAAUAAGAAAACCAGCACGUACGAAGGUCAUUACCUCAUUGUCGGAGGCGGCGCCACCUGUUCCGUCGGCUCGCAGGCCGCAGCGCCAUCUCCUCCUCCUCCUCCUCCAUGUGUCUUCUUCGGUUUUU
rnacentral:lncRNA from 1 species